GAGUUGAAAAGAUCUGACCAAAUGGGAUGCAGUGAAUAGACAAGAAUGUCAUACAGAAACCCAUUUUCCUUUGGACUUUAUUCAAACAAUGAUCAAUAAGCAAUGAGCAAUAUCCAGACAUCAUAAAGAUCAGGGUAUCAAAUAAAGAUGGCCACAUCCAAGAAAGCAUUCCAAUAGCUAACAGUCUUCAUUGUCUUCCAAUGUACCAGAUGAUAUAUU
rnacentral:lncRNA from 1 species